rnacentral:lncRNA from 1 species
CAACAGCAUCAAGAUCAUCAGGAGAGAUGCACCAUGGGACGCAUCAGCAGUGACUGAUCUGCCCCAGAGCAAGUGCAGCCAAAGCUCUCCGUGCACUAAAUACUGACUGUACUCCAGACAGGCCUCCAAGGGCACAGCUGGGCAUACCCUGUAGUUAUCUUACUUCCUGUAGUUAUUUUAAUUCCUGGCCCCUCUUUCCCUAAAUCCAAUUGUUAGCAAAGACUCCCCUCAACCUUUUUUUUUUUUUGAGAAGGGGGUCUUAUUAUGUUGCCCAGGCUGGUCUUGAAUUGCUGGGCUCGAGCAGUCCUCCUGGUUCAGCCUCCUGAGUAGCUGAGAUUACAGGUGUGAGCCACCGCGCCCACCCAUGUUCAUAUUUUAAAUUUAUAGAAACAAAAAUGAGAAUAAAUGCAACAGAAUUAGUGCAAGAAACAGCCAGGUCAACAGGUAAUUUAGCCUCCAGCUAGAAUUGUGUUUGACCAUAUUACUAUAACUUUAAUUAACCUUAAACAGGUAUAAAAAAGUUAAAGCUAGGCACAGUGGCUCAUGACUGUAAUCCCAGCACUUGGGGAGGCCAAGGCAGGAGAACUGUUUGAGGCCAGGAGCCAGGAAUUCAAGACCAGCCUGGGCAACAUAGCAAGACCCCAUCUCUACAAAAAUAAACAAAAAUAUAAGCCCAUAAUAAUAGAAAGAGGGAAGGCAAGCCAGCAGCAGAUGAGGGAUUCUGAUACAUUUCUAGAAAGCAGCAAAUAGGUGUGACCAAUCCCUGGGUUAGGGAAGCAGAGGAUGCCAUACCUAAAGGCUGCAGAUGUGGGUGUGUAAGGAGUCAGGUUGACUGAGCCUGCAAAAGCCCUGUAUACCCAGGCGCUGCAGACACCAGGAGCCAAAGGUGAAGUUCAGAGCCUGACCCUAUUGGCGGCACCCACCACUGCAGGCAACCUCUAUGCAAAACCAGUCCCCCUGGGCCCCUGAACAGGAGUCCUGAGAGGAUCCAGAUGCAGGGCCAUGGUCAGGCACAGUGGAAGGGACUCAGCGCCAAACCACUCCCAACCCUACCCUGAGAAUACCAGCAGCUCCCCAGAAAGCAGAUGGCACAAGUCCUUUCCAGAAAAACUGAACAGUCUAGGGAACAGCCAUCCAGAUCCAGACAUUUGGGAGUCCCUCCAAAAAGCCUGGCUUGCCAUUUAGCUACCAUCCACCCCACCCCAAACACAGAACUUCUUGGCUAGCCUUUUAGGGCCUCACUCAGAUAUAGACAGAUAGCCUUGGGUAAGGCAUCUGAGGAGGGCCUCCAACAUAAAAGAGAUAAACUGGAGUAACAGAGAGGAAAAAAAAAAAAAAGAGGAACCAGAUAAUACGUGAACCAAAGAAAACUUAGACCCCAAAAACCCUAAUUUCCUUGGAAAGAUAAGAUGAUGCAUCCAAAAAAUAAGAUGCUAUGAAAAAGUCAUGAUAAAAAGAAAGAGGAAAUAAGUAAUAUAUAUGGAAUAAAAAAUUCAGUAGGACAAUUGGAAAAUAAAGUCAAGGAACUCUUUCAGAACACAGUAGGAAGAGAUGAGAUUGAAAAUAGGAUAGAAAAUAGGAUAAGAAACUCAGAGGAUCAAUUGAUGAGGCCUAACAUCUAUCUAAUAGAAGUUCAAGAGAGAACAGAAAAAAGACAGAGUGUCAUAAAGACAUGAAAAUGUCCCAGAAGUGAAAUAGGAGUCUCUAGCCUGAAAGGACCUGCUAAGCCCUGCACAGUGAGUGAAGCUAGUCCAGUGCCAGUGUAACAAAGUGAAUUUUUAGGACGCCAUGAACAGAGAGAAAAGGCUUCCACAGAGAAAACCAGGCCACACAGAAAGGAACAGGAAUGGUACAGCAACAAUGGAUGCUAGGUGACAGUGGAGCAAAACUGGAAGGCAAAUAAUUUUCUUUCUUUUGAGACGGGGUCUUCCUCUGUCAACACCGGAGUGCAGUGGUGCGAUCACGGCUCACUGCAGCCUCGAACUCCCAGGUUCAAGCAAUCUUCCCACCUCAGCUUCCCAAGCUACUAGAACUACAGGCACACACCACCAUGCCCAGCUAAUUUUUGUAUUUUUUAUAGAGACAGGGUUUCACCGCGUUGCCCAGGCUGGUCUCGAACUCCUGCACUCAAAACAAUCCGCUCACUUCGGCCUCCCAAAGUGCUGGGAUUACAGGCAUAAGCCACUAUGCGCGGCCAGGAAAAUAAUUUUCUACCUAUAAUUUUACAAACGUAGCUAAACUAUGAAGCAAAUGUCAGAAUGAAAUAAAUGCAUUUUCUUUUUCUUUCCCCCAGCUUAAGGUAUUUUGUUAAUAAAAUCAUUUUCAUAAU